rnacentral:rRNA from 1 species
UGGAAUUGCUAGUAAUCGCGGAUCAGCAUGCCGCGGUGAAUACGUUCCCGGGCUUUGUACACACCGCCCGUCAAACCAUGAAAGUUGGGAACACCCGAAGCCGGUGAGCUAACCGCAAGGAGGCAGCCGUCGAAGGUGGGUUCAAUGAUUGGGGUUAAGUCGUAACAAGGUAGC